AACGAACGCUGGCGGUAUGCUUAACACAUGCAAGUCGAACGAACAAAAUUGGGGCUUGCUCCAAUUUUAGUGAGUGGCAAACGGGUGAGUAACACGUGGGAAUCUACCUAUCAGUACGGAAUAACAUUUGGAAACAGAUGCUAAUACCGUAUAUUCUCCAAGGAGGAAAGAUUUAUCGCUGAUAGAUGAGCCCGCGUAAGAUUAGGUAGUUGGUAGGGUAAUGGCCUACCAAGCCGACGAUCUUUAGCUGGUCUGAGAGGAUGAUCAGCCACACUGGGACUGAGACACGGCCCAGACUCCUACGGGAGGCAGCAGUGGGGAAUAUUGGACAAUGGGCGAAAGCCUGAUCCAGCAAUACCGCGUGGAUGAUGAAGGCCUUAGGGUUGUAAAGUUCUUUUAGUUGGAAAGAUAAUGACGGUACCAACAGAAAAAGCCCCGGCUAACUCCGUGCCAGCAGCCGCCGUAA
rnacentral:rRNA from 1 species